rnacentral:lncRNA from 1 species
CCCACUCUCUCUCUCACUUCGCUUUCUACUCCCAAAUCCCAAUUUCUCCUCUCACUAUAGCUGCUCCAUUAGGGUUCUUUCCCAAAUUGACAUAAUUUCAGAAUUACUUAGGUAGGGUUUAUUUCUUUUCUAUGUUCAUGAAAUGUCGCAAACAUCGAGCUCUUCUAACCGGCGUAUAAGAAAUUGUCGAUGUGGAAAUGUUGCGCUCCAUCUCACUUCGUGGACUCCUGAAAAUUCUGGGAGACGUUUCUUUAGGUGUUAUAAACCUAAUGUAAGUUAAUAUUUUCUUUUAAAUUUUCAGAUUUGUGUUUAUAGGAUUUUUUGGGUUUUUGAAUAAUAAUCAAAUUUAGAUGUUGUGUUGCAGCCAAGACCAUGCGGCUAUUGGGAUUGGGAUGAUGACGAAAUUCAUCCAAGAACCACUAUUGU